CCGGCCAAAGUAGAAAUUUUUAAAUAGAGAAGAUAGCUUACUUGGCCUCCCAUCAGUGGAGAGGGUUGUUGCCUAGAGAGUCAUUUGGCUAUUUUCCAAGAGGCCUCAGGAGGUUGCAUUACUUGGGUGAAAAUGCUGUAGCCCGGAGUUUGAUUUGCGGCAUUGCAGGCUCAGAAACUGAUUUCAUCAGCAAACGGAGAGUAUAUCCAUCUCUCGGCGUGGACCCAUAGAAACCGAGCUCAUAAGACCAAUGUGUGAAAAUGGAUACAGAUAUAAGUAAAUAUUGUACCUGUGUGACUGUCACAUUCUUCCUUCUCUAGGCAGACGCAUGUAGGAAACGCAUGAGGGUGUAUCAUAAUGAGGGGAAUUACAUGAGAGCAUUCUCUAGAGCAUCAGGGUCUCCGUCUGUUGCAGAGACCACAAGCUCACUGGGACCCCACACUUCCAGGCUCAAGUGAUCCUCCCUCCUCAGCCUCCCAAAGUGUUGAGAUUACAGAGGAAAGACCAUGUGAGGACACAGUGAAAAGUCGGCCAUCUGCAAGCCAAGAAGAGAGAUCUCAUCAAAACUCAACCAUGCUGACACCUUGAUCUUGGACUUCCAACUUCUAGGACUCAUGGUAAAGUGGAAUUCUGAUCUCAGAAAGAAGAGUACAAAAGAAUUUUCUCUUCAUUAAAGUGGGUGAACUUUGCAAGGUAACUGAACACUUCUCAGUGGACUGACUGAAUGGAAAUACAGAGAUAUAAAGGAAAUGGAAGCUACAUCACUAUAAAAAUCCAUUCAUCCCCCUAGAUAUAACACCAGUAUGCAAAUAUCAUACAAGGCACCAUUUCCAGGAUUAAAUGAAACCACAAAUGUGAAAGUAUCAUGAUAAAAACAUAAAAUAAGAAUGAUGUGAAAAAAUAAAUAAAUGAUGCUGGCUCUUGUAAGUGCUGUUGUUCAAGAGUCACGAUUUAGAGGAGGUUUCUGAGAUUAACUACACUGGCAAAAUAAUUGAGAGACUAUUUCCAGAAUACAUCAU